CACCGCGGUUAUACGAGUGACCCAAGUUGACAGCUCCCGGCGUAAAGAGUGGUUAACAGAACACCCCCACUAAAGCCGAACAUCUUCAAGGUCGUACAACACAUUCGAAGACUUGAAGCUCAACCACGAAAGUGGCUUUAAACACUUUGAAUCCACGAAAGCUAGGAAA
rnacentral:rRNA from 1 species